rnacentral:rRNA from 1 species
UACGUAGGGGCGCGAGCGUUAUCCGGAAUUAUUGGGCGUAAAAGGAGCUCGUAGGCGGUUUGUCACGUCUGCUGUGAAAACUGGAGGCUCAACCUCCAGCCUGCAGUGGGUACGGGCAGACUAGAGUGCGGUAGGGGAGAUUGGAAAUUCCUGGUGUAGCGGUGGAAUGCGCAGAUAUCAGGAGGAACACCGAUGGCGAAGGCAGAUCUCUGGGCCGUAACUGACGCUGAGGAGCGAAAGCAUGGGGAGCGAACAGG